UUAAAAAAAAAGAGAAAAGAAAUGUCCAGAACAGGCAAAUCCAUAGAAACAUAAAGUGGCUUCGUGUUUUCUGGAAGCAAGCCAGGAGGAGGGGAAAGGGGAGCAACUGCUAAUGAGUACAGGGUUCCUUUAGGGUGAUGAAAAUGUUCUGGAAUUAGAUAGUGGUGAUGGUACACCUUUGUGAAUAUACUAAAAACCACUUUUAUAGGAUACUUUAACAGGGCAAAUUUUAUGUCUGUGAAUUAUAUCUCAAUUUUUUUAAAAAGCCUUCAUUAACACCUUCAGGUUCUUGACCCUACCAUUUUCUCCCAAUUUGUCUUAUCAAUCUCUGGCCUCACUGCCUUCCCAAACAGAUUGGCUGUCUAUGCCUUUGCCCAUAGUAUUCCUUCUACCUGGAAUGAUCUCCCUUUCUCCUCCUUGUUUGCAAGGCUAACUCUUAUUCUUUAUCUUUCAAAUCCGCAGGCACCACUUUCCUCCAGAAAGCCUUCCUGAACCUUCCAAAGUUCAUCACUUCCUCCUCUGUAGCAUUUCUGUCCCUCAUACGCACUCUCAGUAUUUAUCACGCAGCUCUAAUUUCUUUAUUUAGGUCUCUAUCUCCCCACUGCAAUGAGCUCUUUGAGAGCAAGAAUUACAUCUUAAAGAUUGUUGCAUCCUAAGAGCCCAGAACACAUAGUUGUGAUUCAGUAAAUGUUUGUUGAAUUGUGGUUGAAGCUAAAACUCUGUUUCAUGCUGCAUAUUGCAUUGAGUAAUAGUUGUUUGUGUUGUCCUCUUUUUUUCAAAAAACAAGGAAGAUGUUGGUCCUUCAUUAGAUGGUCUUGGAUUUAUUGCUACAAAACUAUUCCAACUAAUUUUUCGUCAAGGAUUUCAAGAGGAGUAAAAUACCUUAGCACUGAAUCUCAACAUUCCUGGUAUGCAAAACGCCAUCUUACUAAGGGACUCUUGUUUCUGGCAGGGCUGCCUCUAUUCUGUGCCAGCGGGCAGAGUCCUCGGAGGUGAAGCUUCUUCAGUAAGUGCAGCGACCAAAGGAAAAUUAAUUGCUGCCUUUACAUUGUGCUUGUGUAAUCUAUCAGAAGAAAUGGUCAGAAAAAAUAGAGACACUAGAUGACUCUGCAGAGAUGCUGCUAAUACUUCUGCUAUUGUCAAACUACCCUGUCAGAAAUGCAUUUGAAGUUGAUCCAUACCAGCCCUUGGACCAAUUUGUGUAGGUCACAGCAAAUAUUAAUUCUUGCCAAAAUAAAUGGGUGAAGAGAACAUGUUAAUAGAGCUGCAUCCAAGAUAUAAUCUUGUUUGUCUGAGAAGUCCUCAUUGUUUCUAGAAAAGAGGUUAAAUAGUCAGAAACUAUCUUCCCCUCAUCCUGUUGCUGUUUCCUCUGUCUUUCCCCACACAAUUCCUCAAAGGCAUCUUUCUAAAAUUAGCAUUCACAAUCGAAUCACUCACUGCUCUUUUUAAAACUGAAAAAUGUCACUACUUCUCUAAAUCUUAAUGAUUUUUAAGGCUCUAUGCUCUCAAUUCAUGUGAUGGUUAAUUUUAUGUUUCAACUCGUCUGGGCUAAGGGGUGACCAGAUAGCUGGUAAAAUAUUAUUUCUGGAUGUACUGUGAGGGUGUUUCUGGAAGAGAUUAGCAUUUGAAUCAGUAGACUGAGUAAAGAAGAUGGCUCUCACCAAUGCAGGUGGGCAUCAUCCAGUCAAUUGAGGAACUGAAUAGAACAAAAAAGUGCAAGAAGGGAGGAUUUGCUCUUUGCUUGAGCUGGGUCAUUCGUCUUCUGCUGCUCUUGGACAUGGCGCUUCUGGGUCUCAAUCAAGCCUUUGGACUGGAACUGAAUUACCCCACUGGCUUUCCUGGGUCUCCAGCUUUCAGAUGGCAGACAGUGGGACUUCUCAGCCUCCAUGUUCGCAUGAGCCAAUUCCUAUAACAAGUCUCCUGUUAUAUGUAUUUCUCUAUAUACUAUUGGUUCUGUUUCUCUGGAAAACCAGACUAAUACAACCCAGUACUAUAAGCACGUCAACCUCAAAAAGCCCAAAGCACAACUUUCAGGUCAAACUGUUAGAAAAUUUGGUUACAUCAUCAAAGACUGGUGUUUUCCAAUGAAAAUACACUUUUUAGAAAGGAGGGUGUCCCUGAAGACAAGAUUAUUUAAUAUUUAAGGAAACUUGAUUUUAUAAAAUAUGGCCAAAAGCCAGACAGUAGAGUGAUAAGGAAGCAAGGCGAAUGCCCUAUCUGUGUCAUUUCUUGUCCCUUCAGCUGGACACAGCUGGGAACAUCAACACCAUCAAGUGGUGCAGCUGUUUCAGAGGGCUCCGUCAGGACUGAAAGUGCUGAUGAUUUCAUAGUCGUAGUUCAUAUUAAUCUACCAUGUCUUCUGUGUGAAGCCCAGUGACAGAUGUCAUAAAUGCUACCAUAGUCAUGAUCCACUCCAGGGGAUUUGAGGUGACAGUUGGUUCCAGGGCAUGGGAGAACCUGAUGUGUUGAACAUCUGUUGCAAAGAGAAUAAGUGACUACACAGGGAAAGCCAACUUACAGGGAUUUCCCUGUUCAUGGUUUUUAGAGACAUAUGCUGAGUGGCAUUUACUGCUCAUUAGCUCAGAUACCUUGGAGAGAUUCUGCCUAAACUACUAUAAAUCUCUUAUUUGAGCAGCAUGUAGAUGGUUAUGUAUAUUCAUGAGGUGAAAGAAAAAAGCUGGUAUGUUUCUGAAAGGAGAGAGCAGCAAAAGGCCAGAGAGUUUAAAAUGUAGCUCCAUGUUAACUGGAGCAUCCUUAACAAGUGUACCACACACACACCCCUUCUUGAGCCCUUGGCAGACAUCAGUAAUCAAUCACUGUAGAUGCUCACUGCUGAGACUCUGCUCUCUGAGUCUGUUUCAGCUCAGGGCUCCAGGGAGCCACUACCUGUCCUUCAGUUUUGACUCUCCUAAAGAAACUGCCAUCCCUGGCCUAGUUUCCCCAAUUAGCUGGAGACAGCAUGCUAAGUACUUUUAGUUGUAUUCCCUGCCCUUCUUCCUGCCACCUUGUCUCAGAUUCCAGCUUUCCUUUCUCAAGGCACCCUUUAUGACCUUCUCUCUUUGUGACCCUCCAUGGUCACAACUUGCCCAAGAGGCGCUGCACAGUUAGGAUGACAUUCAGUAUAUUUAACAACUGGUUCAGCCCGGGUACUGAUCAACCAGAAUGGCUCCCCGCCCAUAAACAGCCAUGAAGACAGCCCUUCACAUGGUGCAUGUUACCUUAGAGAAGCAUGGCAGCUGGCCAGGGCGUUGACAUUUUCAGGCAGUGUUUGCAAGAUAUACUGACCUGUAUACUCUAUAAAAACAGAACUGUCUGGAAAUUCCAAAGGACUUUUGAAUUAGCAUGACUGCUCAGUUCAGAUUUAUGGCCUUCAUGCUGAUGGGCUCAGCGCAGUCCUUGUCCUCAUGAAGGGCCACAGAACUCCAUGAGUCAGCGCCACCCUCUGGAAACCUCCCAUGGGACCCAGCAACAAAGGUGCCACCAAUCCCUGGAAGGCUGCAUCAGUGUGCUGCCCGAAGGUGAGACUUCUUGAUGGAACUGGCAUGCCACAACCACUGACUCCAACAGCCUCCGCCGAAUUCCUCAGCUGCCAGAACUUUCGCUUACGGCGAAAGCACAACCGUGUGGCUGGAAGUGAAAUUUGCCGUCUGCCCUAUCUGGCAGUUUCUGCACGCGGAGUGUUACUAUGUUCAAAACAUUAACCUGCCUGCGAGUGGCUCAUUUACAGAGCGUCUCUCUUCCUAGAGCCGCUGAUGGGUGGCCAUGGCGAAGCUCUUCGCCCUAAUGUGCACUUUCUCUCGCUCGUCCCACCGAGACACUUUGCGUGCUGAGCGCAGCUGCCUGUACGGAGUGUCUACCUCAUCUGGCACAGUUCUCUCCACCCUAGAAGAAACAGCCCUGCCCUACACACCAGGGUGGAAAGAAGAUUUCUGCUCAAAGCUCGCAACCUUUCUCUGAGGUGGUGGCAUACGGAGACCGAAAAAUGAACGUGCUGUUUCUUCUUUUAAAUGGCGCUGAUGAGAAGUCAGUCUCAGACAGACUUUUGACACAUGGAGGAUCAAGCUUUUCCUGUUCCUCUCUGCUGCCCUGAAACCGUUCAUUGAUUUAACCAAUAUCAACGAGCCACCACUAUGAGUGUCGCAGAUGGAGAUGCAGCCUCGUCGACAUAACUGUGCGGCUCCUGGAGAGGAUCUUGCUGUCUAUCUAGUGACAUGUUAUGUCUAACCCCUGGGGUCUCGGAGGGGACCAAGAAAUAGCACCCAUCUAUCUUGACCAAAUUCCAAACUGAUUGAGAAAUAAAGAGUAUCCGGCAGCUGGUGCCCAA